UUUAAGCAAGGUUCUUCACUGUUUAUGACGUGGAUACCUUAUAAAGUCCAAAGCUCAAAUGCCAGACCGUCUGCAGGAGACAAAAAUCUGUACACCAUAAAAGCAUUACCGUUUUCUGAUAUUCAGUCGAUUCGUCGGCAUACACCAACAAUUGGGUGGCAGUACGUUAUUGUUGUAUCAUCAGGUAGGC